AUCGCUUCUCGGUCUUUCAGCCAAGAUCAAAAGUGUAGUAUCUUGUUAUUAGCUUUAUAUCCGAUAUAUUCCUAAUUUGGCGAACUUCGAUAUUAAACUGAUUUUUGAUUACCGCCGAUGUGUUGGAGCUUGCUCUAACUUUGCCACGAGUAGACCUGAUUGAUAUUGCAGGACAUCCAGGUGUUUGGUUACGUAAC
rnacentral:snRNA from 1 species